GCCCCUGUGGCGGAAUUGGCAGACGCGCCGGAUUUAGGUUCCGGUGGGACACCGUGCAGGUUCAAGUCCUGUCGGGGGCA
rnacentral:tRNA from 1 species